rnacentral:lncRNA from 1 species
UUGUUGCUAUUUGUCCGCCAUUACUGGACAUCACAAAAGUUCCUGUUAAAUUUUGACGUCAUAAUAGAAAAUACUAACCCCACAAUUCAAAAACAAUUGUUCUAUGACGUCAUAAGUUCAAGUGGGACAGAUUUUGGGGUCAAGCAGGACAGAUUCUGUGGUCAUGCGAGACAGAUUUCCACUUUUUUAACAGAUUUUAACUUUCCUCUCUCGUUCUACAAAUUUUAGCCGUUCUAGAAUUUUGAAUCCAGACAUUUAAUACAAUUUUAUAUCUUUUGAUGUCUAGCGUCUUCUUAGAUAAAUAUAGC